GAGGAACUUCACACCAGCCAGUGUUCAUCAUGAAUUCUUCAGCACCACCUCCUCCAUCAUCAUCAUCAUCACCGGCAUCAACAUCUACCUCAAUCAGAGCUGGGAAACAAACCCAGCUGAACUCCUCUUCAUCCUCUCCCCCUCCUCCUCCUUUUACUCUGUCUCUCAGAAGUCCUGAGCUGCAAGCAGAGUUUCUAAGAGAGUGUCGGAACAAAUUUAAGACUCACAGCGACGACAGUGAAUCCAGCGGGGUUUCCUCCACCACCUCCCCUGUGGCCUCUCCCUCCAGC